GCCAGCCAGGAAGGAGGAGGCAGCCAGAGUGUUCUCUGCAGCAGAAGACCCCUUGCUGCCCUGCUUAACCCAGACCAGCAUUUGCCAGCCAGUUACCAACCCACACAUGAGCCUGUCCCCUUAUCCCAUGACUGCUGAGUUUACCGAAGAGCCUUUGGUGGGGAACUUUGUCAACAGAUUUUUGGAAGUCGAAGUAUACUAUGUCAACCAGAUCACCUUUAUCCACAUGCCUGUUGACACUCUCAAAGAACUCCAAAAGGCUUCCAAAUGUCAUGGAGUGUGACUCCAGGCAACGAGGUGUGUGUGCACAGGCAAGGAAAAUGCACAGGUAUAGCCUGGGAAAAUUAUCGACGGCAGGCUUCAGCAUUGGCAUAGACGUUAGCAUCUUAUUAAAUUGCUAAUAGCAUUUCAAGAGGCUUGUUCCGUAACUUUUCAUCAGUGUGGAAUAGAAGGAGUGCAGCAGCAGGGUGGGCUAACCAAAGAAUUAAAAUGCAAAAAAAUUGAACGCUGCAGUUUUCAUUUCCGUGAAGGGAUGCAUCGGAUUCUAAAUCAGUUGCUACAGUCCACAGUGCCAUCUUUUUUUAUGCAGCAGACCAGCUCUGGGUGUAUAUAUAUAGGCAUGUGAAAUGCAACCUUUCUGUGAAUCCUGACGGUUUUCAUACUGCAAGAUACUGAGAGAAAUGUAGUGGUGGGCAUUCCACCCUUUCCAGAAGACCUUCAGCUCCUCACAGGAUAGGACCCUUGAACUUCUCAUGUGCUAAAUUGGCUGAACAGUGCUACCCCCUUCUCAUCAGCUCUUUCAUCCCCACCUCUUGCCCGGCAACAAUACCUUCCUGGCUGCUCUAGGCAUUGAUCCAAGGGACCUCAGCUACGCUUCCUGCAAGUUAUGGCUGUUUCUGCUCAGAGUUGCAGAGAGAGAAGGGGGAUGGGAAGAGAAGACCCUCAGACACUGCUUGUCUUGCAACCACAACAGAUGACACCCCCCUCCCAGUUCCAGCACUGACAAUGCCCCUGAAGAAGACUCCUGAGCCAACCUAGGCAGUAACCUAUCCAGGAAGCGAAAAAAGCAUCCGAUGCUCAUAACUAGGUCACUGCAUGAGAGAACAGAUGCAGCCGGCGGCUGAUUUUCAGAUGAAAAGAGAAUGUCUAGACUACUUCUCCCACUCGAACUGCAGAGAUGAGCCCAACACAACCUCCAAAAUGUACUUUCUGAAUCAGUUAUGUGUGAGGCCUUGCAAUCAAUAGGAGUGGCAAAUCUCUACCCAUAUCCUUGGGUCGGCAAUACCAGUGACAUGCCCAUCAAAAUUAAUCUGCUCUCCCAGAUGAAUCUUUAAACUUUUUUUAACUCCAAGCAAGUCAUAAUCCAAGACAGAUAUUCCUUCGAUCCCAGCACAAUCUGCAGACAUGUUGUGGAUCUUAUGAGGAGAGGCAGAAGAAAGAGUGUACAGCCUAGAGAAAAGUAGAUUAAGAAAGUAUAUGAUGGCAUUUUUCAAACACUAAAAAGGAUUUCUGAAAGAAGAGGGGGAAGAGGCAGUCAUACACAUCAAUUCGGCAAACCACUGAAACAUGAGCAUGGCAGUAACCUUGCAAGAUGUGUCACGCGAUUCCGCAUGUGUUUGCUUGGGUUGAGUCCAUCUGAAUUCAGUGGUUGACAUACUGCACAAAGUCUAAUGUGUGUUGUAAUGUCACAUGCAUGCAAUUAGGCAAGUGUGCUCUUGUGCAAACACAAAAAUUGCACAAACGCAGUUACGCAGUAGCACAGCUUAUUUUUCCAGUAGCCUUACUGUCACGCAAGUCCAUUUGCACAAUUUUUGCAAGUGAACAGGAGUGGAACAUAGGAAGUUGCCAUAUACUGAAUCAGACCAUUGGUCCCUCUAGCUCAGUAUUGUCUACCCAGACUGGCAGAGCUUCUCCAAGGUUGCAGGCGGGAAUCUCUCUCAGCCCUAUCUUGGAGAUGCUGCCAGGGAGGGAACUUGGAACCUAGAUGCUCGUCCCAGAGCGGCUCCAUCCCCUGAGGGGAAUCUCUUCCAGUGCUCACAUGUGGUCUCCCAUUCAUAUGCAACCAGGGUGGACCCUGCUUAGCUAAGUGGACAAGUCAUGCUUGCUACCACAAGAACAGCUCUCCUCAGUUUGCACAAUUAUGUACACAUUGCAUUGCAACAUGCACGGAACUUUGCACAAUAUGUCAGCCAGUGGGACUUACCUCCAAGCAAAUGUGCAGCCAAAAUUUUUCAGACUCAAGCAGCGGUUCUGAAACCUGGAUUCCCAGAUGUUGCUGGAUCACAACUUUCCUCAUCCCCAGCCACAAUCCUCUGGCCAUUUUGACUGGAUGGUUGGUUGGCUGAAAUUUUUAUGCCACUAACUGAGAUGGUACUAGGUGGUUCACAGAAAUAAAAAGAGAUUCGAAACAAAACAAAACAAAAAUAAUCCAUUAAAACAAUUACAAAUUAAAACCAUUUAAAAAGCACUAAAAUGUGUGUUUGUAAGGCUCUUUUAAAGGCUGAUAAAGUUCUUAAGCUUCAAAUGAUGAAACAGUCCAGCAAUAUCUGGGAAUCUAGGUUUCAGAAUCCUUGUGCUAAAGGAAUGUAUGGACAAUGGAGAAAUUGAUUGCGGGGGGAGUGCAAAAAUGGCCCAGAGCAAGGAUCAGAGCAAAAGUCUAUUUCCCACAGUGGCCAACCAGAUGCCUCUGGGGAGCCCACAAGCAGCACAUGAAGGCAAUAGCCCCCUCCUGGUAUUGCACCCCAACAUCCUGCCUCUGGAUUCUGAAGGUGGGAAUGACUUGCCAUGUGUCCUUUGAAGGAAAUGGGACCAAUCUGCUCCAAGAAGCUGCUGGAGCAAUGCUCUGGUAAUGUAACCCAGUUCUGCUGAUCCUGAUCCUUGAGGUCCCAGGUUGGUUGAGCUCCUAGGUCCGAAUCUCAGCGGAGACUUGGAGCAUGCACCCCAGUACAGCAGUGCCCUGUGGGCAACGCAUGCACAAAAUUGUCCAUUCACAAGCUUCCCUCCCCCCAUUUCCUUAAACGGGCCAUUCCCACCUUCAUAAUGUACAGGCAGCUGUUUGUGUUGGAGUUCCACUGGAGCAAAUACAACAAAUAUUUAUGACAACUAUUUAUAUAGUGCUUUUCAACAAAAGUUCCCAAAGCAGUUUACGUAGAUAGGAAUAAAUAAAUAAAAUGGCUCCCUGUCCCCAAAGGGCUCACAAUCUUAAAAAGAAACGCAAGAUAGACACCAGCAACAGCCACUGGAGGGAUGCUGUGCUGGGGAUGGAUUGGGCCAGUUGCUCUCCCCCUGCUAAAUAAAGAGAAUCACCACUUCUAAAAGGUGCCUCCCUGCUCAUUUAGCAGGGAAUGGCUAACUGGAGCACGUGUCUGAAUCUGGACUACAUGCAUUGCCUGUCAUUCUAUCCUGUAUUGCCUUCAUGUGUGCAUUUAAAAGGAUGAGAACAGGCAGAAGAUUUUUUAAAAGAGAGAGGUGCUGGGGAAAAUAGGUGUGGCUGAUGCAUUUGAGCAGGGGCGUAUCUAGGGUGGAGCAGGCAGGGCACAUGCCCUGGGCGCCACUUGAAGGGGGGCGCAAUUUUCUAAAAGAAAAAAAGAAAGAAAAAUGGCAGCCGAAAACAAAAUGGCCACUGCAUAUGCUCAAAUGGCCUCUGUGAGGCCCUAGGCCAGGCCAGGCCUCUCAGAGGCCAUUUGAGCAUGUGCGGUGGCCAUUUUGUUUUUAGCAGCCAUUUUUAUAUAUAUAGCCACGACACAUGCUCAAAUGGUCCCUGUGAGGCCCUAGAGGCCAGUGCGAGGAGGGGGGACCUUUGCUGACCUCCCCCAGCCUUUAGGAAGCCCCCCAAAGGGGCUACAGGUUAAAAAAAUAAUAUAAUAUAAGUCACUGUACACAUAUUUAGUUUGGAACUAUGUACAGAGAAUCAGGGCUUGUGAAUACUGAGCUGACGCUUAUGAGCUAGGAUUGUAUUCAUUUGCUCUUACUUUGUUUCUUGUGAUGAGUGAGUUAAAUGUGAUGUCUUAAUAAUAUGGCUAUUAAUAGUGAGUUUGUCUUUGAAUCAGUGUGAAAUCCUUAGAAUUAAGGCCCACUGGGAGUUUCUUGCUCUCUUUCUCUCAUUUUAACUGUCUUUCUGAAAGACUAGAAUAUAUUCCAAGCAGUGACACAGUUUACUCUGCAUAUCCUUUAAUUAUUUUCCAGAGUAUCUGGGAAAAGCCAAAUUCUCAAUUUAUUUUUAAAACUGAUGUAAUAGUGAUGCUACAAUGCAUAGUAGAGAAUUAGACAGGCACUUCUGUUUAGUUUUCCAAGUACACCUCCACAUAGUAUUUGGGUAUUUCAUGAGCCCCAGCAUCCUGAAAUUUGUAGUUUCCCAGCAUUUUUUGGUCUGGCUACGUCCACUGCUAAAUUGUUUUUGAAAUAUUAAAAGAUUAACGAGCUUGACUUGUAUUUUUCAGCUGAUAUUAUGGUAACAUUAUCUGAAAGAUGGGUGUCAGAUGCUUGGUCUUGGGGCCCAAUUUCAGUGCUUGCCCUAGGUGCUAUUUUCCCUAAAUACGCCUCUGCAUUUGAGAGGAGGAAAACUCCUCUCAACUCAGCAACUUAGCUGUCCAUGGACUGGGCUUUAGUUAAGUCUUGCUUUGGGGUGGACCUAUAAUUGAGAGGAUGGGUUCAAAGAACUUGGGGCCUCAGCUCCUGAGAGCGCCCCCAGCUCCACCCUGCCGGGGAGAGGGGUGAACACAGGCCCCCACUAACCUAGCUACAUCCCUGCUUGCUUUAUAGCUGUUCACUGGAGAGAAGUUUAAUAUGGUGGUACAGCUGUCCAGAUGUUUAAAGUUCCUAUGGCUAAAAAGGAGGAUACACUGACACAGGUGAUCGGGAAAACUCAGGACCUUUAGCCAGCUGCUUUUGCAUCUUGAUGGCCUCUAGCAAUAUUGCAAGAUUCUCUCAAGCAUCUUCUUCCCCUCCAGGCAUGAAGUCAAAGGAAACACAAACCCAAGUCCAAAAACAUUUCAGAGAGGUCCUUUCAGUAAAACUGGGACGGAGCCCAACCCUAAAACCUCUUACUUUGUUUAUUUAGUUAUUUAAAAUAUUUAUACCCCACCCCUCCAGUGCACUACUGCUCAGGGCAGCUCACAACAAUAAGAUAGAGACAGAUACAAUCAAAGUAAUACAAUGAACUGAGGAAAAAUUUUGAAGUCAGAUUAAAAACCACAAUUAUUAGGUUCAAAUUAAAACUGAACAUUAUAAAAAGCUAAAGAACCUACCAGAUAUAACAAAAUAUAAUAGAGCAUUUAAAAAUCCUCCUUUAAAAGGAGCAUUUUAAGAUGUUUUUUAAAAACACUGAGGGAGGGAGCAUGACGAAGCUCUUCAGGGAGGGCGUUCUAAAGUUGCCUUGAACCUGAACCUGAAUCAGAAUCAAACCCCUAAACACAAAAAGUGUUCCAAACCAGGGGUUCUGUCAUCAGGCUGCUUACAAGGGUAUGAGUAAUGUUUUAUUUUCCUGUUUUUAAUCUGGUUAUAUGCAUUUUGAUUUUUAAAACAUUUAAAAAAAUCAUUGUCGAGUUAAAUAAUUAUAAUUUUUGUAGCUGCAUUGCAAGCAAGAGAGAUUGUUCUUAUUCUAAAUGUAUCUAGACUGGAUUAAAACCAAUGUCUAAACCCA